rnacentral:rRNA from 1 species
UUGGAGGGCAAGUCUGGUGCCAGCAGCCGCGGUAAUUCCAGCUCCAAUAGCGUAUAUUAAAGUUGUUGCAGUUAAAAAGCUCGUAGUUGAAUUUCGGGGUUAGUAGGUUGGUCAUGCCUCUGGUAUGUACUGGUCUCACUGAUUCCUCCUUCCUUAUGAACCGUAAUGCCAUUAAUUUGGUGUUGCGGGGAAUUUGGACUGUUACUUUGAAAAAAUUAGAGUGUUUAAAGCAAGCUAACGCUUGAAUACAUUAGCAUGGAAUAAUGAAAUAGGACGUUCGAUCUUAUUUUGUUGGUUUCUAGGAUUGACGUAAUGAUUAAUAGGGAUAGUUGGGGGCAUUAGUAUUCAAUUGUCAGAGGUGAAAUUCUUGGAUUUAUUGAAGACUAACUACUGCGAAAGCAUUUGCCAAGGAUGUUUUCAUUAAUCAAGAACGAAAGUUAGGGGAUCGAAGACGAUCAGAUACCGUCGUAGUCUUAACCAUAAACUAUGCCGACUAGGGAUCGGAUGAUGUUAAUUUUUUAAUGACUCAUUCGGCACCUUACGGGAAAC